UUAAGAGUACUGGCUCCUCUUCCAGAGGACCUAGAUUUGGAACACCAGCAUGGUGGCCUGCAAUAGAAGUAUUGUGAGUUGGUGCUGAGACGACAGCAAAUCACAGGAGGAGGUGACAAUGCAGCAGGAUCCUAAGCCUAGCUCCUCUGAGCAAGAGGUCCUCAUCGGUCCUUACAGGAUCCUCAAGACCCUUGGCACAGGCAACUUUGCUCAGGUCAAACUGGCUGUGCACCUCCACACAAAGAUGCAGGUUGCUCUGAAGACCCUGGAAAAGGACAAAAAGAACGCUACUCUGAUUUCCACAGAGCUAGAAAUAAUGAAAUUAGUAGACCACCCUAAUAUAACCAAAUUGUUCCAUGUCAUGGAAACCAGUGAGCAUGUCUGCAUGGUUAUGGAAUACGCUCCUGGUGGUGAUCUGGCUGGUCGCAUCAUAGAGGUGAGCUACAUUCAGGAAGAGGAGGCCCGACACAUCUUCACACAGAUAGUUUGUGCAGUUAAUUACUGCCACAAGAAUGGCAUUGCACACAGGGACAUCAAGCCAGAAAACAUUCUGAUGGAUGCUAGAAGAAACAUCAAACUGUGUGACUUUGGCCUGGCCAUCAAGGUUAACACUGAGCAGAAGUCAACAGUGUUCUGUGGCACCCUUCCAUACUGUGCACCAGAACUUUUCAGCAUCCAAAGCUAUGAUCCCAGGGCCCUUGAUAUCUGGAGCAUGGGGGUGGUACUAUACAUCAUGGUGACGAAGCAUUACCCGUUCAAAGCAACGACAUAUGACAAGAUGAGGGAGGAGAUGCGGGACCCACACUACUAUAUCCCGCCAAAGCUCCCAGCACACAUUGCCAACCUCAUCAUGCAGUUGUUCACUAUUGAUCCUUUGCAGAGGCCCAAGAUAGGUGACGUUGCGAAACAUCAGUGGCUGCAGGGCAGCGAGGAGCUUUCAAAAAUCACCCUACCCCAAGAGACACUCAGCAGCAAGCCCAGCCCCAGUAUUAUGGCAAUUAUGGGGGCCAUGGGCUACAACCCCAAGGACAUUACAGACUCUUUAUAUAAAAAAAAAUUUAAUAGCAUCAUGGCAACUUACUUAAUUUUAAAACACCAGUCACCCUACAGGGACAGCGCUAACCGCAAGUUUAAACUCAUUCAGCCUCGUAGUGCCACGAUACCCACAGAUCCUCCCACUGUCCAUGUCUUCCUAAAGAACAUCGGGACUGAGCCUGACAAUUCCACCUCUGCUCCAACAGCAAAAGACAAGCCCUACAACAACGCCAAGCUUGUAAGAAAGGACAGCAAGAAUCCCAGGAUAACUGAUGCUAUGGGCCGCCAGAAGACUCGUGUCCCUCCUGAAACAGCUGCCCAGUGUGGGCCUGUGCAGCGUCACCAGGAGCCUCUCUUGAAAAGCAGCUUGCUGAAGAGAAACGUGGCUUCCAGUGCUGUAUCCUCUUUUCCUGUGCAGUAUGACCGUGAUCAGUUCUUGAACAGUAGCUUGCAGAAGAGAGGGGUGGUUUCUAAGGCCGUGUCCUGUGGUCCUGUGCAGUAUGUGCAGAGGAGAAACAUGAUGUCCAAGGCUGUGUCCUGUGGUCCUGUGGAGUAUGAAGAUGAGCAUCCCCCGAGCCACAGCUCACAGAAAAGAGGGGUGGUUUCUAAGGCCGUGUCCUGUGGUCCUGUCGAGUAUGAAGAUGAGCAUCCCCUGAGCCACAGCUUGCAGAAGAGAGGGGUGGUUUCUAAGGCUGUGUCCUGUGGUUCCAUGCAGCAUGACCUCGAGCAGCUCCCGAGCUUUCAAAAAACAAAUAUGGUUUCCAAGGCUGUGUCCUGUGGUCCUGUGCAGCUCUCCAACAGCACCUUGCAGAAGGGAGGCCUGGUUUCCAAGGCCGUGUCCUGUGGUUCCAUGCAGCAUGACCUCGAGCAGCUCCCGAGCUUUCAAAAAACAAAUAUGGUUUCCAAGGCUGUGUCCUGUGGUCCUGUGCAGCUCUCCAACAGCACCUUGCAGAUGGGAGGCCUGGUUUCCAAGGCCGUGUCCUGUGGUUCCAUGCAGCAUGACCUCGAGCAGCUCCCAAGCUUUCAAAAAACAAAUAUGGUUUCCAAGGCCGUGUCCUGUGGUCCUGUGCAGCUCUCCAACAGCACCUUGCAGAAUGGAGGCCUGGUUUCUAAGGCCGUGUCCUGUGAGUCCAUGCAGCAUGACCAUGAGCACCUCCUAAGCGGCUCCAUGGAAAAGAGAAACACAGUGGCUUCCAGGGGUACGUCUCCAGACACAGCUCCCUCCAUGGACGUUCUUUCUGAGUACCACAUUUUCCAGAUGGAUCCCCAGGGUGAAUCCCUGACUAAGUGCAGCUCAUACAUCCACAGUAUAGCCUCUGUAUGGAGCUCUGAGGAGAAGCCUCAGGAUAUGGCCACCACAGACUGUCAUCACAAGGACAGAAGCUUGUCCUUGCAGGAAACAUCUGAACCAAGCUUUGCUGCUGCCCAGACCCAGUGUGUAACCACAGCCUCUCCUCAGAACUCAUCAGGCAGAUGGAAGCGGGCAAAGAGAAGGAUGGUGAAGUGUUUAAGGAGAUUAUGCUGCUGUCUGCCAGACCAAAGGAGAAGCUGCACUUCCCAGAGGAGAGUGCUUCCACAGGAGGUGGGAGAAAGUGGAGUCACACAAAACCAGGCUCUUUUGCAGUAGAUUUUGGGAGCCCCUCCAGCCAGUGCAUGGUGUCCGUGUACUUUUGACCAGCUUCAGGCAGGAUCUCUGUGAGUGCUUUAGUCUCUGGUGACUGCAGGUAUCUGGAGACCAGCAGGUAGGUUACCAGGGUAACCCUCUUGGUUCAUUUUUAUAGAGGUGCGUUUUGGGAGAUAAGAGAGCAUGAUGGAGUAGGAAUUUGGUUCAACUUCACCCCAGCCAUGCCUGGGAGAGCAGAGUUCAGGGGAACUGCACUGGCCUAAGAUAAACCAGGACAACUGUCCUAAAGACCUAUGAGAGGGAACUUUGCAAGAACAUCUGGGAGAGCCAUGUGGGAGAACAUUUUGAAUCACCAAUACCCCAGUUACUUUGUAAACCCAGUGCCUCAUUCCUGAGUGUAUGGUGUACGGGGCCUUUGGAAAGGUGACAGGAAAGGAGAGUAAUUAGCCAGGUCAUCUAAGACCAAGGGCAGCAUAGCCCCAGGCUGUAUGGAGCUAGUUAGCUUGCAUAGCAAAUGCCUCAUUCUGGAAGAAGAGGCCUGCAUGCGAUUGAUUUGGCCUCUGCAUGGACACCGACAGGCUCUUCAACAAGACAUUGAAUGUCUCAUUGGGGUGCAGGAGCAGACACAGGAAGGCUCUCCUCAUCCCCAACUGUGGAUUCUCUCCAUUCCCUCUGUGCUCUCAAACUGUGAAACCGAGCCAUGAAGCUCAGUCUGAGGUGAGAUGGAGGCCAUGACCAGCUUCCAGCUCUGGAGAACUGCUAAGGGCAGGCAUGUGAAGCAAGGUCCUGGGGUGGGCUGGUCCAGUUCCAAAGAGGUUGCUGAUCUCAGGACAGAACCAUAGUUCUGAGGACAUCUGAAUUCUCUUGGGAUCUGCAGGAAUCCAGUUCAGUUGAGGUGUUCCAGAAAGCGUCUCUCCUUCAGGUUCUUCCUGCCUCUGCCCAGGACGCCAUAGAAGAUUCGCCUGACAAGCUGGCCAGGGAUAUGACUGGUGUGUAGUACAUCGGAGAUCUUGGACCAGAUGCAGAGACCCUGAAGCUGAGACUGGGUGAGGUGGGACCACCUGGGAGACAAGGGCCCAGGAGAUGUCAGGGGAGAGCAGAAGGGAAGCUGAGAGGUGUGGCUGCUUACUUCUGAGAGCUGUGCACAUGAGGGAAUCACAUGGUGCAAAGGCAGAAAGAGGAAAGGCAGAGACAGGUCCUCUAAGAGCAUCCUUCCUCUGCAUGAUCUUUCCGUUUUCAUCAACAUUAUGAAUACAACCGAGUGGGGUUUGUUGAGCAGCUGUGCUGAUUGUCCUGGGUAGCAGCCGGCCUCGAGGGAAGCAGGCCCAGCUGUCGCCUGGAGAAUAGAGUGCAGAUGCGGGGUGGCAGGUAGGGGUGUAGACUGGAAAAUGGGGCAAAGAGGGGAUGGGCUGUAUCUGUUGGGGUUGGGGUGUGGAUAUCUCACCUGGCUGUUCAGGAUGGCAGCGGGCCUCUGGGGAAACAGGCAGAGCUGUGGCCUGGAGAAUGCAGAGCAGGUUUGGGUCACAGGUUUCUUCUUUUAAAGAUGGUAAGCAAAGGAGAGAAAGAAAGGAGGUUAGUGAGAGACAGACAGAAGGACAGAACCUCCUUGGAGGCUACAUAACAGGGAGCCUUAUUUCUCUGGAUAGUGGAGGGGAAUCUGGAUAACAGAGGGCAAAAAAUGAUCUGCUUUGGACGCUGGACAGCACCACUGGGGUGGGAUUGGACAGCUGUGCUUGUCUACAGCUUUGGGAUCUAGGUUGUUUGUGUUUUUCUAUAACUUGAGGUGCAUCAUUAGGUUGUUGGGGGUCUUUCAGAUUUUAUGGUGUAUAAUUAAUUCAUAGCUAUAAACCUCUAACCUCCUCUAUAUUUCUUCCUGGCCUCGUGUGGCGCUUCCAUUUUCCAUA
rnacentral:sRNA from 1 species